AUUGAACGCUGGCGGCAGGCCUAACACAUGCAAGUCGAACGAGUGGCGGACGGGUGAGUAAUGUCUGGGAAACUGCCUGAUGGAGGGGGAUAACUACUGGAAACGGUAGCUAAUACCACAUACCAUCAGAUGUGCCCAGCUGGGAUUAGCUAGUAGGUGGGGUAACGGCUCACCUAGGCGACGAUCCCUAGCUGGUCUGAGAGGAUGACCAGCAAAACUGGAAAUGAGACACGGUCCAGAGUCCUACGGGAGGAAGCAGUGGGGAAUAUGGAACAAUGGGCGCAAGCCUGAUGCAGACAUGCCGCGUGUAUGAAGAAGGCCUUCGGGUUGUAAAGUACUGUCAGCGGGGAGGCGUUACCCGCAGAAGAAGCACCGGCUAACUCCGUGCCAGCAGCCGCGGUAAUUC
rnacentral:rRNA from 1 species